GACGAACGCUGGCGGCGUGCUUAACACAUGCAAGUCGAGCGGUGAACCCUUCGGGGGGAUCAGCGGCGAACGGGUGAGUAACACGUGAGCAACCUGCCCCUGACUCUGGGAUAGCCUCGGGAAACCGGGAUUAAUACCGGACAUGACAUCGCCUCGCAUGGGGUGGCGUGGAAAGUUUUUCGGUUGGGGAUGGGCUCGCGGCCUAUCAGCUUGUUGGUGGGGUGAUGGCCUACCAAGGCGACGACGGGUAGCCGGCCUGAGAGGGUGACCGGCCACACUGGGACUGAGACACGGCCCAGACUCCUACGGGAGGCAGCAGUGGGGAAUAUUGCUCAAUGGGCGAAAGCCUGACGCAGCGACGCCGCGUGAGGGAUGAAGGCCUUCGGGUUGUAAACCUCUUUCAGCAGGGAAGAAGCGCAAGUGACGGUACCUGCAGAAGAAGCACCGGCUAACUACGUGCCAGCAGCCGCAGUAAUAC
rnacentral:rRNA from 1 species